GUUGAAAUUAUUUUCUUUUAAAAAGCAUCUGGAUUGGCGCACCUGUCUGGAUCAGUCAGUGGAGCAUGCAACUCUUGAUCUCAGGGGCACCAUAAAAUUCAACCUACUGUUCCCUCUGGUGAGGAGGCAGGACAAGAUAGAAACAAGGCGCACGGUUGAAGGCACCAAAAGCACUGCUCUGGAUGUUACUAC